CCUGUUAUUAAUUAUGGAGAGAAACACUUUCUCUAUUAUCUUUGCCCAUGUUUAGUCCCUGAAAUUUCUCAAUGCUCUAGAGCAGAUCCUGAAAAAAGCAAGGAUCAAAAUCUCAUUCUUUUUAAUCAUUUAAAGNNNNNNNNNAAACCAAUGAUCUACAUACUCUCAAACCAAUGGAUGGGAAGAACGUCCAAGUUCACUGGGCUGUAAUUAAGAAGCAUAGAACAAAAACCAUGAUCACUAAAAAAACAUUAAAAAAAAAAAAAAAAAA
rnacentral:misc_RNA from 1 species